rnacentral:rRNA from 1 species
UGCAUCGGAAUCUACUCUUUCGUGGGGGAUAACGUAGGGAAACUUACGCUAAUACCGCAUACGACCUACGGGUGAAAGCCGGGGACCUUCGGGCCUGGCGCGAAUGAAUGAGCCGAUGCCCGAUUAGCUAGUUGGCGGGGUAAGAGCCCACCAAGGCGACGAUCGGUAGCUGGUCUGAGAGGAUGAUCAGCCACACUGGAACUGAGACACGGUCCAGACUCCUACGGGAGGCAGCAGUGGGGAAUAUUGGACAAUGGGCGCAAGCCUGAUCCAGCCAUACCGCGUGGGUGAAGAAGGCCUUCGGGUUGUAAAGCCCUUUUGUUGGGAAAGAAAAGCAGCCGGUUAAUACCCGGUUGUUCUGACGGUACCCAAAGAAUAAGCACCGGCUAACUUCGUGCCAGCAGCCGCGGUAAUACGAAGGGUGCAAGCGUUACUCGGAAUUACUGGGCGUAAAGCGUGCGUAGGUGGUUGUUUAAGUCUGUCGUGAAAGCCCUGGGCUCAACCUGGGAAUUGCGAUGGAAACUGGGCGACUAGAGUGUGGCAGAGGAUAGUGGAAUUCCUGGUGUAGCAGUGAAAUGCGUAGAGAUCAGGAGGAACAUCCGUGGC